UACAGAGGGUGCAAGCGUUAUUCGGAUUCACUGGGCGUAAAGGGUGCGCAGGCGGCCAAGUGUGUCAGGUGUGAAAUCCCGAGGCUUAACCUCGGAACUGCGCCUGAAACUACUUGGCUAGAGUACUGGAGAGGGUAACGGAAUUCACGGUGUAGCAGUGAAAUGCGUAGAUAUCGUGAGGAACACCAGAGGCGAAGGCGGUUACCUGGACAGUUACUGACGCUCAGGCACGAAAGCGUGGGGAGCAAAAGGG
rnacentral:rRNA from 1 species